UCUAUUUUUAAUGAGCUUCCCCAGGUUGCGCAGUGAGGAUACAGAGCAGCACCGGCAGCCACAGACUGCGACGGGGCAGGCGGAGAGGCAGUGGGCACCCAGGGCUGGCUGUCAUCUCCCUCACUACUCCCUGCAGUAGGUCUGGGAUUUUUUUUUGGUGUGGGAGUGCGUCUCCCAGUGAAGGGGGGGUCCUCCUCAAUGCAGCUGCCCUUGAAAAUGGAGUCGAGCACCGAGGAGGAGAGCUGGCUGGAAGAUCAGUGGGAGAAAUGGCUCACCCAUGACAUCAGCCUUGAGGAAUUUGAGGAUGAAGACCUCUCUGAGAUCACUGAUGAGUGUGGAAUCAGCCUGCACUGCAAGGAGAGCCUGGCCACCCGGGCAGGCCAUACACUGUUCUUAUCUUGUGGAGUUACAGCUUCUGCUGACAGCUGGAGUCUCCUUGUCUUCUGGUUUGUACUUCUGGUGCACCUGCUCGCUGGCAGAGCAUGGGGAAAUAAAAAAGCCCUAGGCUUGGGAUAAACACUAUUCAGCAACAACCACAGCAGCAUCAGUGUGUUGUCAAUGCUCCUCUCAUAAGAAAGACAAAACACAGCGCUGCACCAGCUACUAGGAAAAUUACUAGGAGAAUUAAGUCAAUUCCAGCCAAAAACAUCUCUAGGUGUAAACUCACAGCUCGUGGCCCAAGGCUUCAGCAGAUCCAGCUACUGAUUCUAGGCAAGUAAAGCUGGGCAAACAUACUAAAUCACACAGUAUUGUAACUCUGCGAACCCAUUCCAACUCAUUCUACUUAAAACUUAAUUAGUUAAGCUAAGAACUAAUACCUCUCAACAGAGAGUUUCUGCAUUUUGUCAACGUGUUUCAUUCUAAAGCAUGCAAAUGCUGGAGGAGCAGCCAAGUGGUUUAAGAAUCAUUCUGUCCCUCAGAGGAAAUACUUCCUCUGCAAAACAGAUAAAGACCCAGCGAGGACAGGAAAGGCACAAGAAUUUGUCGCAGGUUUAAAAUUAGAAAGUGAAUUUGUGUCGUUUGGAAUCCCUCACUGCAGGCAGGACAGUACAGGCAGACCUCAUCCUUGGGAGGUGAAGGUGUCUUGCUGUGCUCCUUGGUCUAAUUCGUGACCUUCCCAGCAAAAAGUUGUCCGUUCCCAGGUAUGGGGCUGCUGCUCGAUAUCUCUGCUCCAACUGCAGCCUCCUCCUGCUCCAGGAUGUUAUGACCAGACUUCCCUGGGACAGUCGGGGCUCAUGGGCUGUGUAUGCUGAAGGGAGGAGGGAUAAUGCUGCAGGGAAAACCAAGGGCAAACCCAGCACUGAGCAUCCGUGCAGGCACAGCCAUAGCGAGGGCCCGGAAUCGGGAAGGUCCUCCUGCCUGCAAUAGGUGAGGCAGACAGAGACUGUGGGUGUGUUGCUGGGUUCUACCCUUUACCCAUCCCAGUUCUCCACUGCUGACAGCACCAUCGGGCUCAGAGCAGGAUUUUUAUUUUUAUUUUUUUCCUCUGCAGAUUGACAGCCCUUGGCUGAAGUUUGGCAGGGAGGGGAAGGGGCAGGAGGGACUUGCAGCUCAAGUGCUGCAGCCCUUCCUUGAGGGGGAGGAAAAACAGUCUCUUUUACCCCUUUGAAAGAGUUUACUCAGGGGUUUCUGCAUCCCUGUGCUGCAAUACUGAGACUUGACCCUCAGUAAGGGUUUGCUCAGGCUCUGGGAGCGAGCCCUGUGCCUUCCCUGGGGACAGCUCAGAGCUGCUUUACACAAAUGUCUGGGUGCACUGAGAGUCUGCUGGAGUGGGAGGGGAAUGCGAGGCUGCCGUAGGGGAAGCAAUGAGUUAUUCAUAAACACAGCAAAGGAGGAAGCUUAUCAUGCUCAGAAAAAAAGCCUACUAAAAAUAUGUCCAAAUGGUUUAUAUGGGACACGGAGGAUUGCCCGAGGAGCAGAACCGAAAGUGGUGACAACAAUGGCUGUGAGAGGGGCUUUUCAAUCCCAGAUGCUGAAGGCGAGGGCCAGGGAGCUUUCCAAGCUGAUUGCCAUCCAGAGCGAGCUGGGGGUGACAAGGCUGCAGGAUGUGCCUGAUGGAAGCGGUCAGGCCCAGAGGGAGCAGCGUGGCCGGGUCUGUGUGCGGCGUGGGGAGCAGCAGAUCAGUAAUGACCAGCAGUCAGCAUCAGCUAAUUGCAUCAUGUGGGGCUGGCUGGGGGUGGCGAGUCAGGGGCGCUGGGACAGGCACGAGGGGUCCGUGCUGCUGCCCGGGGCCGGUGCCACAGAGCAGCUGCGGUUUGUAGGCUGAAGGGCUGGCCCUGGUCACCCCUGCAGGGCCAGGCAGCUGGGGAAUGCCUGGCAGUGGAGCAGUGUGAGGUGAAAGCAAGCUGCUGGCUCACUGGAUCGCAGCAGAGCCGAGAGUGAUGGGAGAGGGGGAAACAGGAUCUGGGGAGCAGGGGCUGGAGUCAUCCAGCUGCCCAGCAGUGAGUCUCUGGAGAGGUGGGCAGGCACAGGAACCCGACAGCAAGCAGCAAAGUGCUGACAAGGAACAAGAGGACAAGCCCUGCCUAAGGGCUGCGAAGGUGACUGCUGGACAGGGACAAUCAGUGACCUUGAUGAGAUGGGGGGUCUGGGCAGAGCUGGUUGAUGACCAAAUCCUGUGGCAGGAACAGGCAGCUGGUGCAGGGGUCAACACCCAAACAGAGAUGGGUAUUGGGGAUUUUUUUGGUCCCAAAAAAACAAAAACGACCUCAUUAUGGGCUAUUUUAGCAGCUCUUCAGAAAUAGUGGCUCAGACAGACAGAAACUGCAAGGAGGCAUAGACUGAUGUUUGCAAGAGGGAACCAUCCACUGACAAGGACCAUACCUCGUGGAUAGGAGAGCAUGUAUCAAGAAUGAGGAAUAAAACCAUGUAUGGCUGAAAAGAGCCUUAAUUUCAACAAGAAGUCCCCAGUGGAUGAAAAAAGAAGUGAGAUAGGCUGAGAAGAGGGCUCAGAGGAGGAGCAGAGGUGUCUUUGGGCAGGAGGCCAGCUGGGAAGGAGCAGGAGCCACCAGGGCAAGGGGCACAACCUGCACCUCGCCAAUGGCAGCAGUCAGGUGUGUUGGGAGGGAUGGUUGCAACAAAAGUACCAGACUUGGGGUUUGGCCUUGUUUUAGUGGCUUGAAAAUCCAGGGUGGCAAACUCUGGUUUCAGCAAGAUGGAUCCCAGCAAACAACCAGGCAGAUAUUAAUACAAGUUUAGUGCCUCAUUUAUUUUCCAGGAACUGUGGAAAACAGUUAAUGCAGGAAUGAAAAAAAAAUUUAAAAAAGAAAUACCUCUCUUGGAAAUACCUCAGAGCAUGAGAGCAAGCACCCAAAGGGAAAAAUUACCAAUGCAGGGCUGUGCUGAGCCUUUAUGAUUCUGCAUGAAAAGGUCUGAAACAGCCAUGAAGAUACAGAUAUGUGGAGGGAAAACCCAGUUUUUUCAAUAUAAUAAUACUGCUGGAAAUGCCAGGGGCUUUCUCUUGAUGUUCAGUGCCACUGAUCCAAGUGUGCUGCUGUUGGCAGCCGCUCCCAGAAGGCCAGCAGAACCCACUGCAAAAGGGAAGCAGCUGCCAUCAGCCUGUGAUCCAGAGACUGGUGGGGAACUGGAUGUGUGGGCUGGGAGCAAAGGAUAGGGCAGCAAGGUGGCUGCUCCUUGCAGCUCUCCAUGCAGCUUUUGACAGGCUGUCCCAUGAUGCUGCCUCUGUGAUCCAUGGCCAGCUGUGGCUGUGCCAGGCCAGGGGCAGAGAGGCUUCUCCUGGUGCUUUGAAGCCAGCUGGUGGCAGGGAGAGGGGGCACAGUUGUGCCUUCUGCUCAGCAAGUGCCCCUUGCUUCCCUGUGCUCACAUAAUGCUUUUCCCAGCUGAAGGUUUUGCCACUCCUCCUCUGACACUGAAGGCUGCAAGGGUGGGGGAGCAGGGGAGAGACUUUGGUUACUCAAGCAACAUCUUGCAUAUCACUCCACUCCUCUUGCAGGAGCCUUUCACUCCUAGGGAAGCAAGCAGCUUCCUCAGGUGGGCAGCAGCCCCCACACAGAGGAUUCCCCAGCUUAGACCAGUGCUCCAGGGGUAAUCCCAGUACCUCUGAAUUGCAGCAGGGAUCAUUCUGCUCCAGCCCCCUGGCACCACGGAUCACAACACUGGGACUGUCAGACUGGGACACUGGGAUUUUUUGCCAUUGGGAUGGCAGUGUGCAGGUGGGAGGUAGGAUCAGCAGGAGCACACCAGCAUCACAUCUGUCCCAGGAGCAGGUCUGUAAGGGAGCACGAGUGUCCCCAUGACUGCAGUGGGGACCAGGUGUGCAUCUUGUGUUCAUCCUGCCACAGGACCUGAGAGCUGCUCUCUCACACACCCUAAUCUCUCCCACAGGGUGAAGUGACUUCGGGAAGUCACCUCACCAUUGCAUCUGUGCUGACACAUAAGCAUGCCCAAGCUGGCCUUAGGUGACAUUAGCUUGUUCCUAGAGGGCUCCCAAGGCAGCCUGUUCUGGUAGAGCAGUGUCCUUGCAGUUAGAAAGGCUUCCUGAUGUCUAGUCCCUGCCCUUGCUUUGCGGAUCACUGUAGGUUUCACUCACUUGGCAAGGUGAUUGAUUGCUGUGUGGUUUCGAAAUCACUUAGUUGAGCUACAGGCCAUAAGUAAUACCUGCAGUGGCUGUAGUUUCCUCCUAGCUUUUGAACCUGGAAUGCUGCACCCCUGCUAGGGUGCCCUUUUCUUCAGAAUGACACUGAUUUGCUUUUCUGCAUCCUUCCGGGACUUUUCCCUCUGCGGGUUUCCCGCUGCUACAGCUACAGGAUUAUGGAAGCAGCAUCAGCAGCAGCCUAGGUUGAAUGUCACCAGCUGACUCCAAUACACCCACCUUGGCUAGGUAUAAUCUAUUCUUGGCAUUUCCCUCCAGUUCUUUUCCCGUGCCUCGGUUUCCUUGUUAAAAUCCAUGUGAUUUGUCACAGAGAGAAACACAGAACUUGUGGCAUGAAGGCUAAUGCUCAAAACAAGGGAUUUAAAUGUUAAAAGCCUCAAGAGGACAAGUAUUGGUGGCAGAGCUUCUCCAGUUGCUCACCCACUGCAGGACUUCAGCAGGGACACCAGGGGGAAAUGACUCCCGUGAGAGGGUUUGUACUGUGCCUGCAGCAGACAGAGCCCUGUCUGUGCUGGCUUUUGUCUGACAGUUCAGGAGCUGGUAGCAACAAGAGCUCUUGGACUGGCUGCCAGAGCUGCUGGGGCUGUUUCUUCUCUCCUGGCUCAAGGGGCAGCCUCCAUGCAGCUGGAGACAUGGCUAGUAUUCAGCUGCAAAAACCUGACCUUCCCCACCUCUGCCUGCUAACGAGCUUGCAGUCACCACAAACAGCUGAUAACAAGGGAAUUCAACUCCAUGAUGUCAAGUUGCUGCCUUUAUUGCUGGCUGCAGCAGCUUGUGCAUGUGCAAGCUGCAGUUAGUGCAAGGAGGGGGCUUUGGGAAGGAAACCACUGACCUUUCAAUACACACAGUGGGGACAUUGGUGCCUCUUUGCCCAGCAACACAGCCACGAGGAGUGUGGUGCCUCAGCACUUGGGCCCAGCCAGGGUGGUGGGAUGGGACACCUGCUCCUCACAGCCCCCACGGGCCACAGUGGCCGCCCUGUUCCAAAAAGGUACAGGGAAAAGAGUGGAGCUGCCUCCAGCCAGAGCACAGCCACCAUCAGCAGGUGACUGGAGAGCCAGUGCAGGGCAAACCUCCUGUAUGGCCUCGGUUUGUGCAAGUGCACGGAGUGGGCAGAGAAGGCUUCUCCUAGAUGAGUAAAACAAGGGGGAAAGAGCUGCUGGUCCAAGUGGGCAUUACAGGGAAGGAGGAGCCUGACUCCUUUCAGAGGUGUGCACUGAAAAUAGAGAGAAAAAGUAGUGGUAGCAGUAGUGCAGUACGUGGUGCCACUACCCAGCGUGGUGGUGGGUUCUCCACCUGUGGGAGUGUUCAGGUGGAGGGACAAGUGACCUGCUCCAGGCAGGGCGUGGAACAAGUCUGAUCAAACUGAUGACAUGCUUGUAUGAGUCCCAGCUGCCAGGACAGGAACCAGGAAAGGGCACAGUCUGCCUUGGAAGGAAGAAUCACAGAGCAGCAAAGGAUCACCUGGCCAAGCCUUGUGUGGGGAAGGGGAGUCUGGGUGAGACGAUCUGGCACACUCUCUAGUGGCGGCUUGAAAAUCUCCAGCGAUGAGGGCUGUACCAUUUCCCUGGGGAGGUUGUUGUGCGGAAUGGUUGUUCUCACUGUAAAAAAUGUCCUUGUUAUGUCGAGAUGAAACCUGGGUGUGCGCGUUUGUGUGCUUCGUAGCGAAUGUGACGGCUGCACGUACCUACAGACAGACACCUGCCGGGGAAGCCCCAUCACUAAGGGAGGAAGGAUGCUGCCCACACCUGCCCGGGGAGGCGGGGAGGGGGCGCGGGGCUCCCCGGCUGCGGGAAUAACAUCGCUGCCCCUUUAAAAGGCAGCGGCCGCGGGUGCCGAUGCGGCGGCCCCGGCCCCCUGCCCGGCCCC